UACGAAGGGGGCUAGCGUUGCUCGGAAUCACUGGGCGUAAAGCGCACGUAGGCGGAUCGUUAAGUCGGAGGUGAAAUCCUGGAGCUCAACUCCAGAACUGCCUUCGAUACUGGCGAUCUUGGAGUCCGGGAGAGGUGAGUGGAACUCCGAGUGUAGAGGUGAAAUUCGUAGAUAUUCGGAAGAACACCAGUGGCGAAGGCGGGUUGCUGGGCCGACACUGACGCUGAUGCGCGAAAGCCAGGGGAGCGAACGGG
rnacentral:rRNA from 1 species